rnacentral:rRNA from 1 species
AGUGACCCAUGUUCAACGGCCGCGGUAUCCUAACCGUGCAAAGGUAGCGUAAUCACUUGUCUUUUAAUUGAAGACCUGUAUGAAUGGCAAAACGAGGGCUUAACUGUCUCCUCAUUAAAGUCAAUAAAAUUGAUCCCCCCGUGCAGAAGCGGGGAUAACACCAUAAGACGAGAAGACCCUGUGGAGCUUUAGACGCUAAAGCAGUUCAUAAACUCAGCCUUGUCAUAAUCAAGCAUCAACCAAAUGAGUCUCUGCUUCCUUGUCUUCGGUUGGGGCGACCAGGAGAAACUAAAUAACUCCCCUGAGGUCCGAGGGCACCCUCCCUCAAAACUAAGAGCUACACCUCUAAUAAAUAGAACUUCUAACUAGAUAGAUCCGGGACACCCGAUCUACGAACAAAGUUACCCCAGGGAUAACAGCGCAAUCCUCUUUCAGAGCCCAUAUCGACAAGAGGGUUUACGACCUCGAUGUUGGAUCAGGACACCCCAAUGGUGCAGCCGCUA